AACGAACGCUGGCGGCGUGGAUAAGACAUGCAAGUCGAACGGAACAUUAUGAGUAGCAAUACAAGUAAUGUUUAGUGGCGAACGGGUGCGUAACACGUGGAUACAUUCCGGGAAGCGGGGGAUAGCCCAGGGAAACUUGGAUUAAUACCGCAUGUGAUCGAAAGAUCAAAGACGGGGACCGCAAGGCCUGUCACUUCCCGAUUGGUCCGCGGCCUAUCAGCUAGUUGGCGGGGUAAAAGCCCACCAAGGCGACGACGGGUAGCUGGUCUGAGAGGACGACCAGCCAUACUGGAACUGAGACACGGUCCAGACACCUACGGGUGGCAGCAGUCGAGAAUUUUUCACAAUGGGGGAAACCCUGAUGGAGCGACGCCGCGUGGGGGAUGAAGGGCUUCGGCUCGUAAACCCCUGUCAUUCGCGAAUAAUUGUUGCAACCUAACACGUUGCGACUUGAUAGUAGCGGAAGAGGAAGGGACGGCUAACUCUGUGCCAGCAGCCGCGGUAAU
rnacentral:rRNA from 1 species